rnacentral:lncRNA from 1 species
CCGUCAUUGACAAUCAAACAGUUUUUUGUUUCAAAUUUAUUAAUGCUUUUAGAUUACUUUGAUAAAGUUGGCUAUAAAUCGAUAAAACCACUCUCUCCUGCUGCGCUAGAAACUAAGGAUUGCAGGCAUGUACUUUGUCAGUGGCUGUGAUGUAGCGUUCGGCCAGGAUUUGAUGGACAGUCGGAGACAUCACAGCUUCAAGUGGUGUCAGAUUUCACAGCCUGAAUCACGCAGGCUGAAAAGAUAUACUCCCGAGUCUGUGAAAUCUAGGGCUAUCGCUGAAUGCAAGCCAUUUCGUAAAGAGAGAGAGAGAGAGAGAGAGAGAGAGAGAGGCCAGCUCUACCUCAUUAGAGUCCAUGUAGGGUUGAGCAGAUCAUUGAAUGAGUGCAGCCCCGUGACUGUCCCACCAUGUAAUAACGCAGAGGUUGUAAUUCUGAUCUAAAAAAAGCCACAGCUGUUUGAUAAUGUGGUAAAACCACAAGGAAAUAAACUACUUUUAAGCUCUCUGGAAGGUGUACUGAGUUCAGGAAAGCUUUGAAUUUGUUUUAUAUGAUUGUCCUCAGAAUCCUUGCAUGAAGAGUAUGCAGACAUUUUGUUCUCUUUUGUAUUUAAGCAUGCAUGGUGGUCCAAUCACAGACGUGGAGAAGUGAUGUGUUCUCUCUCUGGUUCUUAAUGGAGUUGCAUGCUGCUACGGAAAGGUCCUCACUAGCUAACAGGACAAGGUCCUUCUCCGGACACACCUGAAGAUGACUUUUAAUAAUUAGCCUUACACGGAACCCAAACCGGGUGCGCGCGUCCACCAUCGUGCAUACAUUUAUUUUGUCCCCCUACACCAAACACGAUCACGACACGCAGGUUAAAAUAUCAAAACAAACUCUGAACCAAUGACAUUAAUUUGGGGACAGGUCGAAAAGCAUUAAACAUUUAUGGCAAUUUAGAUAGUUAGCUUGCACUUGCUAGCUAAUUUGUCCUAUUUAGCUAGCUUGCUGUUGCUAGCUAAUUUGUCCUGGGAUAUAAACAUUAGGUUGUUAUUUUACCUGAAAUGCACAAGGUCCCCUACUCUGACAAUUAAUCCACAUAUGAAAACGGUCAACCGAAUCAUUUCUAGUCAUCUCUCCUCCUUCCAGGCUUUUUCAUCAUUUAACUUAGAUGGUGAUUGGCAUCUAAACUUUCAUAGUAUUACCAUGACAACCGGCAAC